GACGAACGCUGGCGGCGUGCUUAACACAUGCAAGUCGAACGAAGUGGCGAACGGGUGAGUAACGCGUAAUCAACCUGCCCUUCAGAGGGGGACAACAGUUGGAAACGACUGCUAAUACCGCAUACUUCCGUCUUUGAUUGCUUCGGAUUAGCUAGUUGGAGGGGUAACGGCCCACACCGGCGAUGAUCAGUAGCCCGUCUGAGAGGAUGAACCGCCACAUUGGGACUGAGACACGGCCCAGACGCCUACGGGAGGCAGCAGUGGGGAAGCUUCCGCAAUGGACGAAAGUCUGACGGAGCAACGCCGCCGGAGUGAUGACGGCCUUCGGGUUGUAAAGCUCUGUUAAUCGGGACGCGGGACAGGAAGAGAAAGCCACGGCUAACUACGUGCCAGCAGCCGCGGUAAUAC
rnacentral:rRNA from 1 species